rnacentral:lncRNA from 1 species
AGGUCAUAUAGGACAUCUCCAUGUAGCUCCUAGUUAAGAGUAUAUAUGGAAGCAAGAAUGAAGCCUUCUUCACUCUUGUGAAUACCUUUCUAGUUUUUAGUCUUGUUUCAAGACUUUUUAGCCUUCUUAUUUUUGGCAAUAACCAUUCUCGUUUAAUAUUAUAUUAUCUUUGAGUGACUUUUUAGUUCUUUUCAGUGAUAGAAGAAUGUAUUGAAGAUUUUCUUUCUUUGAGAUUCAUAUCCUUGACACCUUUGCUUAAUGAUUUCAAAAAUAAUAACUAGAGGCUUAAAUCACAUCU